UACGGAGGAUGCGAGCGUUAUCCGGAUUUAUUGGGUUUAAAGGGUGCGUAGGCGGCUUUUUAAGUCAGCGGUGAAAUUUUGCAGCUUAACUGUAACAGUGCCUUCGAAACUGGUUUCCUUGAGUGUAGAUGAAGUAGGCGGAAUUUGUGGUGUAGCGGUGAAAUGCAUAGAUAUCACGAGGAACUCCGAUUGCGCAGGCAGCUUACUAAACUACUACUGACGCUCAGGCACGAAGGCGUGGGGAUCAAACAGGAUUAGAUACCCUGGUA
rnacentral:rRNA from 1 species